rnacentral:rRNA from 1 species
AUUGAACGCUGGCGGCAUGCUUUACACAUGCAAGUCGAACGGCAGCACGGGGGCAACCCUGGUGGCGAGUGGCGAACGGGUGAGUAACACGUCGGAACGUGCCCAGUUGUGGGGGAUAACCCAUCGAAAGGUAGGCUAAUACCGCAUGAGCUCGAGAGAGGAAAGCGGGGGACUCGUAAGGGCCUCGCGCGACUGGAGCGGCCGAUGUCCGAUUAGCUAGUUGGGGGGGUAAAGGCCCACCAAGGCGACGAUCGGUAGCUGGUCUGAGAGGAUGAUCAGCCACACUGGGACUGGGACACGGCCCAGACUCCUACGGGAGGCAGCAGUGGGGAAUUUUGGACAAUGGGGGCAACCCUGAUCCAGCCAUGCCGCGUGAGUGAAGAAGGCCUUCGGGUUGUAAAGCUCUUUCGGUGGGAACGAAACGGUUGCGGUGAAUAGCCGUGAUCAAUGACGGUACUCACAGAAGAAGCACCGGCUAACUUCGUGCCAGCCGCCGCCGUAAAAC